GGUCCUGCGGGAGGCAGCAGUAGGGAAUCUUCCACAAUGGACGAAAGUCUGAUGGAGCAACGCCGCGUGAGUGAAGAAGGGUUUCGGCUCGUCAAGCUCUGUUGGUAGUGAAGAAAGAUAGAGGGAGUAACUGGCCUUUAUUUGACGGUAAUUACUUAGAAAGUCACGGCUAACUAAGUGCCAGCAGCCGCGGUAAUACGUAGGUGGCAAGCGUUGUCCGGAUUUAUUGGGCGUAAAGCGAGU
rnacentral:rRNA from 1 species